rnacentral:rRNA from 1 species
AUUCAACGCUGGCGGCAGGCCUAACACAUGCAAGUCGAACGAGUGGCGGACGGGUGAGUAAUGUAUGGGAAACUGCCUGAUGGAGGGGGAUAACUACUGGAACCGGUAGCUACUCACGCAUACCAUCCGAUGUGCCCAGAUGGGAUUAGCGUGUUGGUGGGGUAACGGCUCACCAAGGCGACGAUCCCUAGCUGGUCUGAGAGGAUGAACAGUCACACUGGAACUGAGAUAUUUGUCAAACGCCUACGGGAGGCAGCAGUGCGGAAUUUUGCACAAUGGGCGCAGCGCUGAAGGAGCCAUGCCGCGUGUAUGAUGGAGGCCGGCGGGGUGUAAAAUACUAUUGGCGGGCGGGCGUUACCCGCAGAAGAAUCACCUGCUAACGCCGUGCCAGCAGCCGCGGUAAUAC